rnacentral:rRNA from 1 species
AUGAACGCUGGCGGCGUGCCUAAUACAUGCAAGUCGAGCGAACGGACGAGAAGCUUGCUUCUCUGAUGUUAGCGGCGGACGGGUGAGUAACACGUGGAUAACCUACCUAUAAGACUGGGAUAACUUCGGGAAACCGGAGCUAAUACCGGAUAAUAUUUUGAACCGCAUGGUUCAAAAGUGAAAGACGGUCUUGCUGUCACUUAUAGAUGGAUCCGCGCUGCAUUAGCUAGUUGGUAAGGUAACGGCUUACCAAGGCAACGAUGCAUAGCCGACCUGAGAUGGUGAUCGGCCACACUGGAACUGAGACACGGUCCAGACUCCUACGGGAGGCAGCAGUAGGGAAUCUUCCGCAAUGGGCGAAAGCCUGACGGAGCAACGCCGCGUGAGUGAUGAAGGUCUUCGGAUCGUAAAACUCUGUUAUUAGGGAAGAACAUAUGUGUAAGUAACUGUGCACAUCUUGACGGUACCUAAUCAGAAAGCCACGGCUAACUACGUG